rnacentral:lncRNA from 1 species
UAAGGGCUUUCGUAGAAGAGAACGACAUCGAAAGGAGUUACUACGGGAUUUAGGCUUGGCUACGCACGCUACCCCAGCGCCACAGACUCGCUUUCAAGGGUCAGUAACGUACGCGUUUUUGCACUCAUAUUCACGGAACGAACAGGCGCUUCCCCAAGGAGGAUCGUUCAUAAAAAAAACUCUGGCAAUGUGUUGUGAGGUAACAGACCUAGACAAGCAGUUAUUUACUCAGAUCCUUCGGCUUACGUUUCUUCGGCUGGAUGUAGUCCAAGGUGUCUUUUUCAUGUCCCACUGUCAGGGCCGCCCCAUCUAAAGGGACUGGAGGGCCAAAGGACAGCUGUGGGGCACAAAGAAAGGCUGAAAGAAUAGUCCAGAGCGCACUAGAGUGAAGCUAAGGGGUGCAAAGGGCCAACAGAGGCCUGCAGGGGGAAACAAAAAAUUCAAAGGAGGGGACCAGAGCAGAACAGAGGGCUGCUAAAGGGUGUGGAGGGACAACAGAGGGCUCCAGGGCAUGAAGAAGGGCUCCACAGGGAUUCUGAGGGGACUGCCAGGGCCCUAAGGGAUCUCGAGGUGCAAGAGACAGCUCUGGGAAACAAGGAAGGCCCAAAGGACAAGAGAGGUUGUGCAGGGUGUGGAGGGCCAGAACACAGCUCUGGGGCACAACCAAGGUCUCCGGAGGGGUUCUGGUGGAACAAGAGGGKUCCGAAGGGGUCUAGAGGGCCCAGAUCCAGCUCUGGGGCAGCAGGAAGACUGAAAGAGUAGUCCAGAGUGCACUAGGGGGGUGCUAAGGGGUCUACAUGGCCAACAAAUAGGCCUAACCCAAACCCAAACCCAGCCUUCUAAGCUAACCGUAACGCUAACCCUAAAUGGCCAUAACCCUAAACCCCAACCCUGUACCAGGGAAAAACAGGGAAAUUCCACUGUCCCCGAUGACCUACGGGGACUCUGGUGUGAACGGCACAUGUCCAGUAAAGGACAGACAGACAGGGCCACUGCUGCAGGGCUGAGAAGGCACAGGAACUACAGCUCCCGGCCUGCCACAGAGAACAACGCAGCCAGCUAGUGAGAACCCGCCUGCAGAGGAGUAACCUGCCGCCACCUCG